GGUGCACGUGAUGUCUAAAUAGCGAUCAAAGCAUGACCUGCUAUGAUUCAUACUAAUUUAAAACUGAUGCACC